CCUACGGGUGGCAGCAGUGGGGAAUAUUGCACAAUGGGGGAAACCCUGAUGCAGCGACGCCGCGUGAGUGAAGAAGUAUCUCGGUAUGUAAAGCUCUAUCAGCAGGGAAGAAAAUGACGGUACCUGAAUAAGAAGCACCGUCUAACUACGAGCCAGCAGCCGCGGCAACACGUAGGGUGCAAGCGUUAUCCGGAUUUACUGGGUGUAAAGGGAGCGUAGGCGGCGGUGCAAGUUCGGAGUGAAAUCCCCGGGCUUAACCAUGGUACCGCUUUGGAAACUGUGGAGCUUGAGUGUGGGAGGGGCAGGCGGAAUGCCUAGUGUAGCGGUGAAAUGCUUAGAUAUUAGGCAGAACACCGGUGGCGAAGGCAGCUUAC
rnacentral:rRNA from 1 species